AGAGGCUUAGGUUAACACUAAACCAAGGGCCUUCAAAGCCCUAAACGAGAGUGAAAAUCUCCCAGCCCCUG
rnacentral:tRNA from 1 species